UACGGAGGGUGCAAGCGUUAUCCGGAUUUACUGGGUUUAAAGGGUGCGUAGGUGGGUAGGUAAGUCAGUGGUGAAAUCUCCGGGCUUAACCCGGAAACUGCCAUUGAUACUAUUUAUCUUGAAUAUCCUGGAGGUGAGCGGAAUAUGUCAUGUAGCGGUGAAAUGCUUAGAUAUGACAUAGAACACCAAUUGCGAAGGCAGCUCACUACGGGAUUAUUGACACUGAGGCACGAAAGCGUGGGGAUCAAACAGG
rnacentral:rRNA from 1 species